AUACGGAGGGAGCAAGCGUUGUUCGGAAUCAUUGGGCGUAAAGCGGGUGUAGGCGGCUUGGUAAGUCGGGUGUGAAAGCCCAGGGCCCAACCCUGGAACUGCAUUCGAAACUGCCUGGCUAGAGUCCCGGAGAGGGUGGCGGAAUUCCCGGUGUAGAGGUGAAAUGCGUAGAUAUCGGGAGGAGCACCAGUGGCGAAGGCGGCCACCUGGACGGUGACUGACGCUCAGACCCGAAAGCGUGGGGAGCAAACAGGAUUAGAAACCCCGGUAGUCC
rnacentral:rRNA from 1 species